rnacentral:snoRNA from 18 species
UGCUCUCUACAAGGGCACAUGAUGCUCCGCCGCCACGUUAUCCCACUAUGCAUAUCCUUAGUGCGCCCUAGCUCCCUUUGGCGCUCUGAUGGGUCAGUACAAAACCAUGCAUCAUACAUUCAG